UAGUUCGUGGAGUGAUCUGUCUGCUUAAUUGCGUUUCAAAAUUUAACUUGAGGACCGGGUUUUGGUUUGGCUAGUGGUUCUACGAUGACUGUGAACUGUCAUGUCUUCGGAUGUGCGACUAUUGGUCUAGGAUCACAUGACUUGCCCCUGGGACUCUUUUGAACGCAACGGACGUGAUUGCAACCCCUUGUUGAGAUUAGAGAUAGUCUCGAUAUUCACUGGACAAACUGGCUGCUUUAUGCAGUCUUGUUGAAUGGUGGAUAAACUCGGGGGACUGCUGACUAUAACCAUUUCUCAAAACAGAGGAAGGUUGCGGCAAUAACAGGUCUGUGAUGCCCUCAGAUGUCCCGGGCUGCACACGUGCUACAAUGAGUGGCGCAAUGUGCUAAUGUUUAAGGGAUAAGAGUGUGGUCAGUAGAACGUCGGGAUUUCCCCUGACGUCUCCCCCGCACGAUUAUCAGCCUUCCCUUAACAGGGCGGGCAACCUUUUCAAAAUACUGGUUUGAUGUUAAAGUAUUGAGUCGUUUUUUUUGGAUGGUGGUUUGUUAACCAAUACCAUCCGGCAACUGCUCGCGAGUUUGUGGUUCUGGCGACUCAUGGUGG
rnacentral:rRNA from 1 species